rnacentral:rRNA from 1 species
GACGAACGCUGGCGGCGUGCCUAAUACAUGUAAGUCGAACGAGGUCCAAGGGAGCUUGCUCCCUGACGACCUAGUGGCGAACGGGUGAGUAACACGUAAGAAACCUGCCCUGGAGUGGGGAAUAACUCGGGGAAACUCGAGCUAAUACCGCAUACCUUCACAUGAUCGCAUGGUCGAGUGAAGAAAGAUUCAUCGCUCUGGGAGGGUCUCGCGGCCUAUCAGCUUGUUGGUGGGGUAACGGCCUACCAAGGCAACGACGGGUAGCUGGUUUGAGAGAACGAUCAGCCACACUGGGACUGAGACACGGCCCAGACUCCUACGGGAGGCAGCAGUAGGGAAUCUUGCGCAAUGGGCGAAAGCCUGACGCAGCAACGCCGCGUGCGGGAUGACGGCCUUCGUGGUUGUAAACCGCUUUCAGCAGGGACGAAAUUGACGGUACCUGCAGAAGAAGCCCCGGCUAACUACGUGCCAGCAGCCGCAGUAAUAC